rnacentral:rRNA from 1 species
CCGGUUUAAACUCAGAUCAUGUAAAAUUUUAAAGGUCGAACAGACCUAAUUUAUUAGCCUCUUCACCAACAAUCAAUUUUAAUCCAACAUCGAGGUCGCAAUCUUUUAUUUCGAUAAGAACUCUAAAAAAAAUUACGCUGUUAUCCCUAAGGUAAUUUAAUCUUAUAAUCUUAACUCUAGGAUCAAAUACUCAUAAAUAAAUGGUUAUAUAAAAAAAAAGUUAAUUAAAUUUUUUCAUCACCCCAACAAAAUAUUUUUUCAGCCAAAAUAACUAUAUUAAUCUUAAAUUUAAUUAAACUUUAAAAUAUAAAACUCUAUAGGGUCUUCUCGUCUUCUAUAUGCAUUUAAGCUUUUUAACUUAAAAAUAAAAUUCUAAUAAAUUUUUACAGAGACAGAAAUUUUUUCAUCAAACCCUUCAUUCCAGCUUUCAAUUAAAAAACUAAUGAUUAUGCUACCUUUGCACGGUUAGUAUACCGCGGCCAUUCAAUAUCUCAUUGGGCAGGUCAGACCUAAAAUUAUAAUCAAUAAGCC